GUGUUCCAGAUAUAGAUUCAACCUUUUUAGAACAAAAGGGCAAAGAAAGAAAAACAAUGAGAGGGAAAUAAAACUGAAUGAAAACAUCCUAGUAAUUAGGCACUACUAUUGAGUGUAUGACAUUAUUAUAAAAGCUUGAUUACAAGUUACUCAAACAAUUUGAUAGCUGCAUUCUCUCAUAAAGAAUUAAGAUUUAGCCAUAUCACAUUAACAACAAGCGCCCAAGUAUGUUACAAAUUAGAGAGCUAAAAGAAGGGAUUACACACAGACUUAAUGCACACCUACAAACAUUAGCUGGUUACACAAAUCUGCAGCUAAUCCUAUUGACAAGGGGGCAUCCAAUAGAGCCAAAACUUUUUUACCACCUUGUUUGAAGAAAACAUGAUGCGGCAGUGAUCUUUCUUCUUCUACACCACGACACCAACCCACAACAAAC
rnacentral:misc_RNA from 1 species